AAUAAAUUAAUAGUCGUUAAAUAUAUUGAAUUCGUAAAAGUAUCUAUGUGUUGAAUAUAUACGCCUAUUACUAAGAAUAUGUACUAAUACUUAGUCAGCUGAUAACUAAAGAGAAACCUAACCUUUUUAAAGGAUUUAUAUUAAUUUAGUGAGAAAAAAUGUUUGGUAACAAAGUUCUGCCUAAUAUGGUGCAAAAUGCACGAAUAAUAAUUGAAAUGAAAGAAUUAAAUACAAUAAAUAGGUUGCACGCGUUUGUUUUCUGAGAAAAAGACAAAUGGAAAAGUGGAAAGUGAAAGAAUUAAAGAAUUUAGGAAAAAAUUGCGUGAACGUACAUCGAUAGAAAAGUUGCCGGAGUUUGAAGAAGGAAAGCAUCCUUACCAGGAAAAAGAACCUUUGAAACCAUUUCCAGAUAAUACAAAUCCAAAAACAGGUGAAAUUGGUGGACCACGUGGACCAGAACCAACUCGUUAUGGGGAUUGGGAAAGAAAAGGACGUGUAACAGAUUUUUAGAUAUUAAUUUAGUACCAAUAUUAUUAUAAUUAUUUGAGGAGAAAUAUAUUAAUUAUGUAUCAUUAGCAACCUUUACAUUAUAAUGUUAUCAUGUAAAUUACAAAUAUAAAUUAUGCAUAGAAAGAUA
rnacentral:misc_RNA from 1 species